CACAAUGUCAUCAGCACCCUGCAAAGAAAAAUGCCAACAUUGAGGGCUUUCACUACAAUAAACGAAGCGAAAAUGAAAGUGAAGCGAAAGUUUACCUCAUCAGCAAUUUUGAGAAGUGGCAUAUCACCAAUUGGCUCCACCACCUGUGGAGACUUCCCCUUAUCUGGGCAAGAAGACUCUGCCACAACGGGCAGACCCAUGGGAGCCUCUACAGAAUUCAAGAAGCAACAAAUCAAAAACCAAUAGCACAAGUAAAGGUAAAACAUCAAAAAAUGUAUUACUUUCUG
rnacentral:lncRNA from 1 species